rnacentral:rRNA from 1 species
AAGGGUUCUUCGGAACCCGANUAAAGUGGCGAACGGGUGCGUAACACGUAGGUAACCUGCCCUUGAGUGGGGAAUAACUACCGGAAACGGUGGCUAAUACCGCAUGAAGACCAGAGAUCGCAUGAUCUCCGGUUGAAAGACUUCGGUCGCUCAAGGAUGGGCCUGCGGCGGAUUAGUUUGUUGGUGAGGUAAAGGCUCACCAAGGCUACGAUCCGUAGCUGGUCUGAGAGGAUGAUCAGCCACACUGGCACUGAGACACGGGCCAGACUCCUACGGGAGGCAGCAGUGAGGAAUCUUGCGCAAUGGAGGAAACUCUGACGCAGCCACGCCGCGUGAAGGAAGACACCCCUAUGGGGCGUAAACUUCUUUUAUAUGGGAAGAACCCCCUGCUCGGCAGGGUCUGACGGUACCAUAUGAAUAAGCACCGGCUAACUCCGUGCCAGCAGCCGCGGUAAUACGGAGGGUGCAAGCGUUGUCCGGAAUCACUGGGUGUAAAGGGUGUGUAGGCGGGGCAGUAAGUCAGAGGUGAAAGCCCACGGCUCAACCGUGGAAUUGCCUUUGAUACUGCUGUUCUUGAGUCCUGGAGAGGUCGCCGGAAUUCGUGGUGUAGCGGUGAAAUGCGUAGAUAUCACGAGGAACACCGGAGGUGUAGGACGGGUGACUGGACAGGUACUGACGCUGANGCACGAAAGCGUGGGGAGCAAACAGGAUUAGAUACCCUGGUAGUCCACGCCGUAAACGAUGGAUGCUCGGUGUUGCCCCCGUUUCAGGGGCAGUGCCAAGCUAACGCAUUAA